rnacentral:rRNA from 1 species
GGUUAAGCGACUAAGCGUACACGGUGGAUGCCCUGGCAGUCAGAGGCGAUGAAGGACGUGCUAAUCUGCGAUAAGCGUCGGUAAGGUGAUAUGAACCGUUAUAACCGGCGAUUUCCGAAUGGGGAAACCCAGUGUGUUUCGACACACUAUCAUUAACUGAAUCCAUAGGUUAAUGAGGCGAACCGGGGGAACUGAAACAUCUAAGUACCCCGAGGAAAAGAAAUCAACCGAGAUUCCCCCAGUAGCGGCGAGCGAACGGGGAGGAGCCCAGAGCCUGAAUCAGUGUGUGUGUUAGUGGAAGCGUAUGGAAAGGCGCGCGAUACAGGGUGACAGCCCCGUACACAAAAAUGCACAUACUGUGAGCUCGAUGAGUAGGGCGGGACACGUGGUAUCCUGUCUGAAUAUGGGGGGACCAUCCUCCAAGGCUAAAUACUCCUGACUGACCGAUAGUGAACCAGUACCGUGAGGGAAAGGCGAAAAGAACCCCGGCGAGGGGAGUGAAAAAGAACCUGAAACCGUGUACGUACAAGCAGUGGGAGCACAGAGCAAUCUGUGUGACUGCGUACCUUUUGUAUAAUGGGUCAGCGACUUAUAUUCUGUAGCAAGGUUAACCGAAUAGGGGAGCCGAAGGGAAACCGAGUCUUAACUGGGCGUUAAGUUGCAGGGUAUAGACCCGAAACCCGGUGAUCUAGCCAUGGGCAGGUUGAAGGUUGGGUAACACUAACUGGAGGACCGAACCGACUAAUGUUGAAAAAUUAGCGGAUGACUUGUGGCUGGGGGUGAAAGGCCAAUCAAACCGGGAGAUAGCUGGUUCUCCCCGAAAGCUAUUUAGGUAGCGCCUCGUGAAUUCAUCUCCGGGGGUAGAGCACUGUUUCGGCAAGGGGGUCAUCCCGACUUACCAACCCGAUGCAAACUGCGAAUACCGGAGAAUGUUAUCACGGGAGACACACGGCGGGUGCUAACGUCCGUCGUGAAGAGGGAAACAACCCAGACCGCCAGCUAAGGUCCCAAAGUCAUGGUUAAGUGGGAAACGAUGUGGGAAGGCCCAGACAGCCAGGAUGUUGGCUUAGAAGCAGCCAUCAUUUAAAGAAAGCGUAAUAGCUCACUGGUCGAGUCGGCCUGCGCGGAAGAUGUAACGGGGCUAAACCAUGCAC